GAACGCUGGCGGUAUGCUUAACACAUGCAAGUCGAACGAGAUAAAAGAGAAGUGCUUGCACGGAUCUUUUAGAAAGUGGGCGAACGGGUGAGUAACGCGUGGGGUAACCUACCCUAUGGAAAGGAAUAGCCUCGGGAAACUGGGGAGUAAUGCCUUAUAAGAUAUAUUUGUCGCAUGGGCAGAUGUAUUAAACGCUCCGGUGCCAUAGGAUGGACCCGCGUCCCAUUAGCUAGUUGGUGAGAUAACAGCUCACCAAGGCGACGAUGGGUAACCGGUCUGAGAGGGCGAACGGUCACACUGGAACUGAGACACGGUCCAGACUCCUACGGGAGGCAGCAGUGGGGAAUAUUGCGCAAUGGGGGAAACCCUGACGCAGCAAUACCGCGUGAGUGAAGAAGGUUUUCGGAUCGUAAAGCUCUGUUAUUGGGGAAGAAAAAAAGACGGUACCCAAGAAGAAAGUCCCGGCUAACUACGUGCCAGCAGCCGCGGUAAUACGUAGGGGACAAGCGUUGUCCGGAUUUACUGGGCGUAAAGGGCACGCAGGCGGUUUUUUAAGUCAGAUGUGAAAGGUACCGGCUCAACCGGUGACAUGCAUUUGAAACUGAAAGACUUGAGUAUUGGAGAGGCAAGUGGAAUUCCUAGUGUAGCGGUGAAAUGCGUAGAUAUUAGAGGAACACCGGUGGCGAAAGCGGCUUGCUGGACAAAUACUGACGCUGAGGUGCGAAAGCGUGGGAGCAACAUGAUUAGAUACCCUGGUAGUCACGC
rnacentral:rRNA from 1 species